GAAUAUUAGUCAAUGCUCGAAAGAGUGAACUAGCUAACUGAAAUCAAUUAUAAAAAUUGAUAACAUAAGGGAAAAUAAUGAUAUUACCUUAUUAUUAGUGUCGUCCAAAUCUGGUGCCAGAAGACUCGGUAAGGCCAGAGACACAAACGUUAAUCGUCUUAAUCAGGCGUAAAGGGUUUGUAGGCGGCUUUAAAAAUUAUUAACACAAAUUUUAUUUUUAUUAAUAAUUAAAGAAUAAAAGCUAGAAUCAAAAAGAGGAUAUAUUAAAGAAUGUUUAGAGUAGGUCUGAUAUCCAUAGAUACUAAGUAGAAUAUUAAAGGCGAAAGCUUUUUUCCAUUAAUGAUUGACGCUCAGAAACGAAGGUGAGGAUAGGAAAUAGGAUUAGAUACCCAAAAUACCCCUCUCUGUCAACGAUGAAUGGUAGUUAUUAAUAAAAUUUGAUUAAUGACAAUGUUAACACGAUAACCAUUCCGCCUUGUGAGUACAACUGCAAAGUUGAAAACAAAAAAAUUAGUCGGUUUCGGAGCAAACGAAGUGAAGCAUGUUA
rnacentral:rRNA from 1 species